UACGUAGGGUGCAAGCGUUAAUCGGAAUUACUGGGCGUAAAGCGUGCGCAGGCGGUGCUGUAAGACAGUUGUGAAAUCCCCGGGCUCAACCUGGGAACUGCAUUUGUGACUGCACAGCUUGAGUGCGGCAGAGGGGGAUGGAAUUCCGCGUGUAGCAGUGAAAUGCGUAGAUAUGCGGAGGAACACCGAUGGCGAAGGCAAUCUCCUGGGCCUGCACUGACGCUCAUGCACGAAAGCGUGGGGAGCAAACAGG
rnacentral:rRNA from 1 species